rnacentral:rRNA from 1 species
GGGGGAUAACUGCUCGAAAGAGCAGCUAAUACCGCAUACGACCUGAGGGUGAAAGGGGGGGAUCGCAAGACCUCUCGCUAUUGGAGCGGCCGAUAUCAGAUUAGCUAGUUGGUGGGGUAAAGGCCUACCAAGGCAACGAUCUGUAGUUGGUCUGAGAGGACGACCAGCCACACUGGGACUGAGACACGGCCCAGACUCCUACGGGAGGCAGCAGUGGGGAAUUUUGGACAAUGGGCGCAAGCCUGAUCCAGCAAUGCCGCGUGCAGGAAGAAGGCCUUCGGGUUGUAAACUGCUUUUGUCAGGGAAGAAAUCCUCUAGGUUAAUACCCUUGGGGGGAUGACGGUACCUGAAGAAUAAGCACCGGCUAACUACGUGCCAGCAGCCGCGGUAAUACGUAGGGUGCAAGCGUUAAUCGGAAUUACUGGGCGUAAAGCGUGCGCAGGCGGCUUUGCAAGACAGAUGUGAAAUCCCCGGGCUCAACCUGGGAACUGCAUUUGUGACUGCAAGGCUAGAGUACGGUAGAGGGGGAUGGAAUUCCGCGUGUAGCAGUGAAAUGCGUAGAUAUGCGGAGGAACACCAAUGGCGAAGGCAAUCCCCUGGACCUGUACUGACGCUCAUGCACGAAAGCGUGGGGAGCAAACAGGGUUAGAUACCCUGGUAGUCCACGCCCUAAACGAUGUCAACUGGUUGUUGGACGGCUUGCUGUUCAGUAACGAAGCUAACGCGUGAAGUGACCGCC